rnacentral:tRNA from 1 species
CUCCCUGUGGCUCAGUUGGUAGAGCAUGGUGUCUGCAAUGGUGUUUGCAACGCCAGGGUUGUGGGUUCGAUUCCCACAGGGGGC